rnacentral:misc_RNA from 1 species
GGAUUAACAGAUUGUUGUCAAAACUUUAAAUUGUCAGUUGUAAACUAUAAUAUUCUAAGUAAAAUUUUCGUAACAAUAUUAAUGGAAUUACCGAUUAUCAAAAAUCCAAAAGGAAACAAAGAUGUAUGCAAAUGCAGGCCGAUCUGUAAGAGUCGUAGGCGGGAAUGGAAGGGGAAAGUUCAGAAGACAUCAGCUGAACUAUUAUUAGAGAGAAAACCUUUACAAGAAUGCUUUAGAAGAUGGCCAAUGAAAGUCUCCGCCAACAGCCCUUGUCCCUUGUUU